AACAAGGCGUACCUGCGGACCUGCGGAGGGAUCAUUGCUGGAACUGUGUCUGCAAAGACACAACCCCAGAUACCCUUUGUGAACUUAUUUUAUAUCGUUGCCUCGGCGCUGAGCUGGGGGCUUCUUUCCAAGAAGCUCUCCCAUCCUCUCUCGGGAAGAUGGAGCAAGCCCGCCGGCGGCCCUCUUAAACUCUUGUUUUUAUUACGUAUCUCUUCUGAGUUAUUCAAAACAAAAUGAAUC
rnacentral:misc_RNA from 1 species